CCUGGCGGCCGUAGCGCGGUGGUCCCACCUGACCCCAUGCCGAACUCAGAAGUGAAACGCCGUAGCGCCGAUGGUAGUGUGGGGUCUCCCCAUGCGAGAGUAGUGGCACGGCUGGGA
rnacentral:rRNA from 1 species